CAUGUUUUUGACGAGAGGGCCUUUGCCUAUGUUGCCAUUGUGGGAGAGGUUCUUUAGAGGUCAUGAGAAGUAUUUCUCUAUCUAUAUCCAUACACCUCAGGACUAUGUGCUCAAUGUUUCAAGGGAUUCUCCAUUCUACAGAAGGCAAAUACCGAGUCAGUAUGUUGAAUGGGGAACAGUUUCACUGGUUGAUGCUGAGAAGCGCCUUCUAGCCAAUGCCCUGCUGGAUUUCUCAAAUGAGC
rnacentral:misc_RNA from 1 species